rnacentral:rRNA from 1 species
GGAGGAAAAGAAACUAACAAGGAUUCCCUUAGUAACGGCGAGUGAACCGGGAAAAGCUCAAAUUUGUAAUCUGGCUGUCUUCGAUAGUCCGAGUUGUAAUCUAUAGACGUGUUUUCCGUGCUGGACCGUAUCUAAGUCCCUUGGAACAGGGUAUCAAAGAGGGUGACAAUCCCGUGCUUGAUACGACCACCAGUGCUCUGUGAUACACGUUCUACGAGUCGAGUUGUUUGGGAAUGCAGCUCAAAAUGGGUGGUAAAUUCCAUCUAAAGCUAAAUAUUGGCGAGAGACCGAUAGCGAACAAGUACCGUGAGGGAAAGAUGAAAAGCACUUUGGAAAGAGAGUUAAACAGUACGUGAAAUUGUUGAAAGGGAAACGAUUGAAGUCAGUCGUGUUCUUCAGAUUCAGCUGGUUCUUCCAGUCUACUUCUGUUGAACGGGUCAACAUCAGUUUUGUCCGGUGGAUAAAGAUAGUAGGAAUGUAGCUCCCCCGGGAGUGUUAUAGCCUAUUGUUGCAUACACUGGGUGAGACUGAGGACUGCAGCUCGCCUUUUGGCCGGUCUUCGGACACGUUCGAGCUUAGGAUGUUGACAUAAUGGCUUUAAACGACCGCUGGGAAAAAC